UGCCUGUCUACACUUGCUGUGCA
rnacentral:piRNA from 1 species